GGACUACCGGGGUAUCUAAUCCUGUUUGCUCCCCUAGCUUUCGCGCCUCAGCGUCAGGUUUGGCCCAGAAAACCGUCUUCACCACCGGUGUUCUUCCACAUAUCUACGCAUUUCACCGCUACACGUGGAAUUCCGUUUUCCCUAACCAUCCUCUAGCUCAGAAGUUUCAAAUGCAGCUCCGGGGUUGAGCCCCGGAAUUUCACAUCUGACUUUCUGAGCCGCCUACGCGCCCUUUACGCCCAGUAAUUCCGAUCAAUGCUUGCACCCUCCGUAUUACCGCGGCUGCUGGCAC
rnacentral:rRNA from 1 species